rnacentral:rRNA from 1 species
GAUGAACGCUGGCGGCGUGCUUAACACAUGCAAGUCGAACGGAGUUUUAUGAAGUUUUCGGACGGAUUAAAACUUAGUGGCGGACGGGUGAGUAACGCGUGGGUAACCUACCUCAUACAGGGGGAUAACAGUUGGAAACGACUGCUAACACCGCAUAAGCCUACAGUGCCGCAUGGCACAGGAGGAAAAAAUUUAUUGGUAUGAGAUGGACCCGCGUCUGAUUAGCUAGUUGGUAAGGUAACGGCUUACCAAGGCGACGAUCAGUAGCCGACUUGAGAGAGUGAUCGGCCACAUUGGGACUGAGACACGGCCCAAACUCCUACGGGAGGCAG